rnacentral:rRNA from 1 species
AGAAUCAACGCUGGCGGCGUGCCUAACACAUGCAAGUCGAACGAGAAAGGGAGCAAUCCCUGAGUAAAGUGGCGACCGGGUGAGUAACACGUGACUAACCUACCUUCGAGUGGGGAUAACCUCGGGAAACCGAGGCUAAUACCGCAUAACAUCGUGAGAUCAAAGCAGUAAUGCGCUAGGAAGAGGGGUCGCGGCUGAUUAGCUAGUUGGCGGGGUAAUGGCCCACCAAGGCGAAGAUCGGUA